GGCGGGAUAGCUCAGUCGGUUAGAGCACAGGCUUCAUAAGCCUGGGGUCGUCGGUUCAAGUCCGACUCCCGCUACCA
rnacentral:tRNA from 1 species